UGGUGAUGUCUCCUGACCGCUAUCAAUGGAGGCACUCGAUUAUGCUGUGGGUUGUGAAAACAACCUUAGAUGCCAGUCGUCAAAAGUGUAAUGUGAGGGAGGGUUAGAUGCCCA
ncrna:Bacillus cereus NVH0597-99 epsC RNA